rnacentral:rRNA from 1 species
UACGGGGGGGGGCAAGCGUUGUUCGGAAUUACUGGGCGUAAAGGGCUUGUAGGUGGCCAACUAAGUCAGACGUGAAAUCCCACGGCUUAACCGAGGAACUGCGUCUGAUACUGGAUGGCUUGAGUGUGGGAGAGGGAUGCGGAAUUCCAGGUGUAGCGGUGAAAUGCGUAGAUAUCUGGAGGAACACCGGUGGCGAAGGCGGCAUCCUGGACCGACAUUGACGCUGAUGAGCGAAAGCUAGGGGAGCAAACGGGG